rnacentral:rRNA from 1 species
UAGCCGUAAACGAUACUCGCUAGGUGUCGGCCACGGUGCGACCGUUGUCGGUGCCGUAGGGAAGCCGUGAAGCGAGCCACCUGGGAGUACGGCCGCAAGGCUGAAACUUAAAGGAAUUGGCGGGGGAGCACCACAACGGGUGGAGCUUGCGGUUUAAUUGGAUUCAACGCCGGAAAUCUUACCGGGACCGACAGCAACAUGAAGGCCAGGCUGAAGACUUUGCCGGAUUAGCUGAGAGGAGGUGCAUGGCGUAGUCGUGU